CCACCCCCUCCUACCCUCUAUUUCUGUAAGUUCUCUUUGUCUUUGGAGGAGAAGGAGGAGAUCACCCCAUCUCCUUGUUCCUUUGACUGUGGAGGGGGAGGUGAGCAGCUUAAGAUCUGCCUGUCUCUCACCCUCUCCCAUUCCCCUUCCCCAGGACACCCCAUCCUCCAGACUGAGCGAUCCUGAGGGGCCUGCUAGUGCCAAAGGGGCUGGGUUUGAGGGAGGAAAAGAAAAGUGAGCAGAACUGAUUGAAGCAUUCAAGAAAUGGUGUGCAAUGUGUAACCCCUGUGGACCUCUCGCCUCCUGGAUGGGGUAGGAUGAUGGUGUCUUCUCACCAUUUAGGAAGCAAGCCACUCUCCACAGAAAUAGACUGAGCAAGAUGGAAGGGCCAAUGUUGGGAAGCAAUGCCUUGUCAUCACUGUACAGAGCUCUACCUAUGACAGCACUGAAGCAAGCCACUCUCCACUGAAAUAGGCUGUGCAAGAUGGAAGGGCCAAUGUUGGGAAGCAAUGCCUUGUCAUCACUGUACAGAGCUCUACCUAUGACAGCACUGAACUCCAUUUUGGCAAAUUGCCAAGACCAGCCAAGCUUCAUUCCCAUCUAGCCUGUGUUUCUGGUUCCCAGACCUCCACACCAUGUCUCAGCUGUAGCCUCACCCUGAAAAAUCCCUCAGCACCUCGACCUCAUCCUCACCAACCUGAAUUCUACUCCUUGCUCCUGAAUUGCUUACACCUAAGGUGGUAGCAGUAGCAGGUUGGCUAUUAGUAUGUUCCUGGUCUCUGGGGUAAUUCUGUACCCUGAUACGUUCUGGAGCAGUUCUGGGCAGGAGAAGAAUUGUAUUAGGAUUUGGAUCUCCGGGGAAGCUAGAUGGCGCAGUGGAUACAGCACCAGCUCUGGAGUCAGGAGUACCUGAGUUCAAAUCCAGCCUCAGACACUUAAUACUUAACUAGCUGUGUGACCCUGGGCAAGUCACUUAACCCCAAUUGCCUCACCAAAAAAAAAAAAAAGGAUUUGGAUCUCCUAGAAUGGCUGAAUAACCCCAGACUUCUUCACUGGACACAUCACAUCAGGUGGCCAAAGGUGAUCAGAAAGUCUUUCUACCACCAGUGGACAGUCUCAAAUGCUCACCCUUUGCUGAGAGAUGUGUGUAUCUGCUCUCUCCACCUGCUCAUUAAAAAGUCCACCUAGCUCUCCUUUGGAGAACAUGUGGUUGGUAAUAGUUCCCAGUCAAGAUUAGCCACUUCUAUUCUCUGGGGCUAUUUUGUAAAAAGGAAAGGUGCCCAGUCUUUCAAUAACUGGGUAUGAUUCAGUUUUCCAUGGGCCACCUAACUUGGGAGCCCUUUGAAUGCCAAGGUUUCUCAACAGAACUCUAUCUUCUGGUUAAAAGCUUUGACACUAUUCCAGCAUCAUCAUGACUUUUGUUUUUGACACAGCUCUUCUGAGAUGAAGCCUUGGCUUGCUGGUAUGUGCCUCUCGCCUGCCUCACCUAUGAAAUGCACCCAGUGUUAGUACUGACCUCAUCUCCAUGAUCUAAGCUACAACACAUCCAUUAGUAGGUGUGCUUCUCUCUCAAACAUGAACAGUCAUGGUCUAAUGCCUGCAGAUUCAUUCAUACUGUAAUUACAUGCCUGUGCUAGAAAUGACACAUGUUGAUUUGAGUGGGAUUUUUGUUCAUGUCUCACAUGUCCCAGCG